rnacentral:rRNA from 1 species
CUACGGGACGCUGCAGUGGGGAAUAUUGGACAAUGGGGGAAACCCUGAUCCAGCAAUGCCGCGUGUGUGAAGAAGGCCUGCUGGUUGUAAAGCACUUUCGGUUGGGAGGACUGCUUCUAGCACUAAUAUUGUUGGAAGUUGACGUUACCUUCAGAAGAAGCACCGGCUAACUCCGUGCCAGCAGCCGCGGUAAUACGGAGGGUGCAAGCGUUAAUCGGAAUUACUGGGCGUAAAGCGCGCGUAGGCGGCUAGAUCAGUCGGGUGUGAAAGCCCCGGGCUUAACCUGGGAACUGCAUCCGAUACUGUCUAGCUUGAGUACAGGAGAGGAGAGUGGAAUUCCACAUGUAGCGGUGAAAUGCGUAGAUAUGUGGAGGAACACCAAUGGCGAAGGCAGCUCUCUGGCCUGAUACUGACGCUGAGGUGCGAAAGCGUGGGGAGCAAGCAGGAUUAGAUACCCUUGUAGUC